UACAGAGGGUGCAAGCGUUAAUCGGAAUUACUGGGCGUAAAGCGCGCGUAGGUGGUUCGUUAAGUUGGAUGUGAAAUCCCCGGGCUCAACCUGGGAACUGCGUCCGAUACUGGAUGACUUGAGUUCGGGAGAGGGAUGCGGAAUUCCAGGUGUAGCGGUGAAAUGCGUAGAUAUCUGGAGGAACACCGGUGGCGAAGGCGGCAUCCUGGGACCGAGAUCGACGCCUGAGGCGCGAAAGCUAGGGGGAGCAAA
rnacentral:rRNA from 1 species